rnacentral:rRNA from 1 species
AUGGUGUUGCUGUACACCUUCGUCACUCUGUGCGAAGGCUUCCUCGGCGUCCUCCCCACCAUCGAGCUUUGGGGGGAGUUCUUCUACACCAAGCUCGGCACCCUCGUCGCGGGUGUGCCGGCUCAAUGUGGCGCUUUCAUUGCGGUGCGGAGGCCGGCGGCCAAAAAUCCGUUUCCUCCCAUCACGCUAAUCAAGUCGGUGAAGAUGUGGCAGCGGUCGUACUUCUACGUGAAGAGCGUCUUCCCGGAGGGCGACUGGGUCAACUUGCCGGCUUACGUAACCGGCCCGCCAGCUGGGAGGCGGCCCAACUGGUCGUACCGGGCCAAGACUUGUUGA